rnacentral:rRNA from 1 species
UGGGGAAUAUUGCACAAUGGGCGCAAGCCUGAUGCAGCAACGCCGCGUGAACGAUGAAGGUCUUCGGAUCGUAAAGUUCUGUUGCAGGGGAAGAUAAUGACGGUACCCUGUGAGGAAGCCCCGGCUAACUACGUGCCAGCAGCCGCGGUAAUACGUAGGGGGCUAGCGUUAUCCGGAUUUACUGGGCGUAAAGGGUGCGUAGGUGGUCUUUCAAGUCGGUGGUUAAAGGCUACGGCUCAACCGGAGUUAGCCUCCGAAACUGGAAGACUUGAGUGCAGGAGAGGAAAGUGGAAUUCCCAGUGUAGCGGUGAAAUGCGUAGAUAUUAGGAGGAAUACCGGUGGCGAAGGCGACUUUCUGGACUUUUACUGACGCUCAGGUACGAAAGCGUGGGGAGCAAACAGG